CACGUAGGGGGCGAGCGUUGUCCGGAUUCAUUGGGCGUAAAGAGCUCGUAGGCGGCUUAGCAAGUCGGGUGUGAAAACUCCAGGCUCAACCUGGAGAGGCCACCCGAUACUGCUAUGGCUUGAGUCCGGUAGGGGGCCACGGAAUUCCUGGUGUAGCGGUGAAAUGCGCAGAUAUCAGGAGGAACACCGGUGGCGAAGGCGGUGGUCUGGGCCGGUACUGACGCUGAGGAGCGAAAGCGUGGGGA
rnacentral:rRNA from 1 species